AAAAACAAAUCCAAGCUUUUGCCAGCUUUGCUGGGGUGCAUAAUCUUAACCCAUUUUCCAGUAAUUCGCAACCGGUUCACACCGCAUCACAUAAUGGCAUUGCCUCUGGCUGCCAAACGAGCUGCAUAGACAGCAGCUUCCGGCAAAACAACACACAGAUGUGUGCAUCGCGAGAGAUACACGUAACAUGCAAAAUAACAUACAAAGGAAAAAUGAAAAAAAAGUAAAUGAAAAUAAAAACUGAAACCUAAGCGAAUUUUCAAUUUUCAUUGUUUUGCCUUUUUCGUGUUCGAUUCUAUUUGGCUGGGCCAUAAAUUUUGAAUGAAAAUUGCAUUGCAAAAUGUAUGAGCCAAAGCGACAUAGAGAGCAGCGAAGCGAAGCCAGCGCACCGAACGGUUAGCAAGAGAGAGACAGAGAGAGUGGCAGAGCGACGGAGAGAGAAUGAGAAAGAGUGGGGGGCACUAGGCUAUGCAAAACAGGGCGAAAUGUACGCGUUUUAUCUCUCAUGUACACACA